CCAGCCUGCCUUACAAGCACUGUGAGUUGCUGGCUGGCCGAGGCCCUGGCAGAUCAGACCUCCUGCAGCCCCAGGGAUGGCACGGGCACCGCCACUCACGCAGCCGGUAGAGCGCUCCUAGGGCAGGCCCAUCUCGCUUCCCUCUCGCCUCUCCCCCCCGCUUUUGCUUGGGCCAAUCCGACCUCCUCACCUCCUCGUAGCUCCCCCAGCACACCUUGCCUUUGCCAUCUCUGCAUGUGCCGCGCCUGCUGUCUGGAAGACCGGCAUCCAUUCCCCUCUGCCUUCCAAACUCUCCCUGUAGGACCAGCUCAAAAGGCAUCUCCUCUUCAGCUGUUCCUGCUGCCAGGGCUAAUAUCGUCUUCCUCUUUUUUCCCCACUAGCGCUUCUUUGUCUAUUUUGGAGAGGUUUUGUUUUGGAUAACUUUUUAAUUGAGAUGUAACUCACAUUAUCAUAAUAUUCGUCUUUUUUAAAUGCACAGUUCAAUGGUUUUUAGUAUUCUAUUCACAAAGUUGUGCAACUAUCAGCAUAAUUAAUUUCAGGAUAUUUUCCUCACCCUAAAAAGAAACUCCGUACCCUUUAGUUGUCACUCCUCAUUUCUGCCUCUCCCCAGCCUCUGAAACCCACUAAUCUACUUUCUGUUUCUGGAUUUGCCUAUUGUAGACAUUUCAUAUGGAUGGAAUCGUGCAUAUAUGGCCUUUGGUGACUAGUUUCCUUCUCUUAGCAUAACAUUUUCAAGGCUCAUCAUGAUGUAGCCUGAAUCAGUAUUUCAUUCCUUUUUAAGGAUCAAAUAAUAUUCAUUUCUACCUUGGGGCCAUUAUGAAUAAUUCUUCCAUCAACAUUUGUGUACAAAUUGUGUGUGGAAGUGUUUCCAAUUCCCUUGGGUAUAUAUGUAGGAGUGGAAUCGCUGGCUCAUACAGUCCUUCUGUGUUUAAGUUUUUGAGGAGCCACCACUGUUUCCCAAAGCAACUGUUUUUGGCUUUUUAACCAAUAUGUAAGCUCAUUCUCAUUGUUAAAA
rnacentral:lncRNA from 10 species